rnacentral:lncRNA from 1 species
AGGCCCCGUGUGAGAAGCCCCCUUCCCAGUGAACUCUCCCGUGUGUGUACGCGUGGACAGCCAACAGGGGGAGCAGUGCGAGCGUGAAGGCAGACAGUGGCCUGGCCCAGUCUGAUG